UACGGAAGGCAGCAGUGGGGAAUAUUGCACAAUGGGCGAAAGCCUGAUGCAGCUAUGCCGCGUGUAUGAAGAAGGCCUUAGGGUUGUAAAGUACUUUCAUCGGGGAGGAAAAACAAAACUAAUAAUUUUAUUUCUUGACGUUACCCGAAAAAGAAGCACCGGCUAACUCCGUGCCAGCAGCCGCGGUAAUACGGAGGGUGCUAGCGUUAAUCAGAAUUACUGGGCGUAAAGAGCACGUAGGUGGUUUUUUUAAGUCAGAUGUGAAAUCCCUGGGCUUAACCUGGAACUGCAUUUUGAAACUGAAAUACUAGAGUAUCGUAGAGGGAGGUAGAAUUCUAGGUGUAGCGGUGAAAUGCGUAGAUAUCUGGAGGAAUACCUGUGGCGAAAGCGGCCUCCUAAACGAAUACUGACACUGAGGUGCGAAAGCGUGGGGAGCAAACAGGGAUUAGAUAU
rnacentral:rRNA from 1 species